rnacentral:rRNA from 1 species
CCUACGGGAGGCUGCAGUGGGGGAUAUUGCACAAUGGGGGAAACCCUGAUGCAGCGACGCCGCGUGAGUGAAGAAGUAUUUCGGUAUGUAAAGCUCUAUCCGCAGGGAAGAAAAAAGACGGUACCUGACUAAGAAGCCCCGGCUAACUACGUGCCAGCAGCCGCGGUAAUACUUAGGGGGCAAGCGUUAUCCGGAUUUACUGGGUGGAAAGGGAGCGUAGACGGCAAUACAAGUCGGAAGUGAAAUACCCGGGCUCAACCUGGGCACUGCUUUGGAAACUGUAUGGCUGGAGUGCUGGAGAGGUAAGCGGAAUUCCUAGUGUAGCGGUGAAAUGCGUAGAUAUUAGGAGGAACACCAGUGGCGAAGGCGGCCGCCUGGCCUGUUGCUGACGCUGAGGCACGAAAGCGUGGGGAGCAAAUAGGAUUAGAUACCCCGGUAGUC